rnacentral:rRNA from 1 species
UGGUGACCAGCGGAGGGAUCAUUAGCGAGUUGCAAAACUCCCUAAACCACUGUGAAUCAUACCAUUUGUUCGCUCUUUGUUGCCUCGGCAAGGUGCUACGGUUCCCCCGGGGACCUGAUGCCCCUGCCGAUGGUACGAGGGCACCUAACUAUGUUGUAACUGGCCUCUCUGAGUAAUGCUUCCAAAUAAGUUAAAACUUUCAACAACGGAUCUCUUGGUUCUGGCAUCGAUGAAGAACGCAGCGAAAUGCGAUAAGUAAUGUGAAUUGCAGAAUUCAGUGAAUCAUCGAAUCUUUGAACGCACAUUGCGCCCGCCAGCAUUCUGGCGGGCAUGCCUGUCUGAGCGUCAUUUCAACCCUCGAGCCCCCUGUGGGUUCGGUGUUGGAGCUUUCCACGGCUGCCGUGGGCUCCGAAAAUCAGUGGCGGUCUCGCUGAGAUCUCCGGGUGCAGUAUUUACUCUCCCCCGGUCCGACUCGGUGAGUGCCUGCCGUUAAAUAAGCCUUCUGGCUACUCACUAAGGUUGACCUCAGAUCAGGUAGGAAUACCCGCUGAACUUAAGCAUAUCAAUAAGCGGAGGAAAAGAAACCAACAGGGAUUGCCCUAGUAACGGCGAGUGAAGCGGCAACAGCUCAAAUUUGAA